AGAGUUUGAUCAUGGCUCAGAUUGAACGCUGGCGGCAGGCCUAACACAUGCAAGUCGAGCGGCAGCGGGGGGAAGCUUGCUUCCCCGCCGGCGAGCGGCGGACGGGUGAGUAAUGUCUGGGGAUCUGCCUGAUGGAGGGGGAUAACUACUGGAAACGGUAGCUAAUACCGCAUAACGUCGCAAGACCAAAGUGGGGGACCUUCGGGCCUCACGCCAUCGGAUGAACCCAGAUGGGAUUAGCUAGUAGGUGAGGUAACGGCUCACCUAGGCGACGAUCCCUAGCUGGUCUGAGAGGAUGACCAGCCACACUGGAACUGAGACACGGUCCAGACUCCUACGGGAGGCAGCAGUGGGGAAUAUUGCACAAUGGGGGAAACCCUGAUGCAGCCAUGCCGCGUGUGUGAAGAAGGCCUUCGGGUUGUAAAGCACUUUCAGCGGGGAGGAAGGCGAUAAGGUUAAUAACCUUGUCGAUUGACGUUACCCGCAGAAGAAGCACCGGCUAACUCCGUGCCAGCAGCCGCGGUAAUACGGAGGGUGCAAGCGUUAAUCGGAAUGACUGGGCGUAAAGCGCACGCAGGCGGUCUGUUAAGUUGGAUGUGAAAUCCCCGGGCUUAACCUGGGAACUGCAUUCAAAACUGACAGGCUAGAGUCUCGUAGAGGGGGGUAGAAUUCCAGGUGUAGCGGUGAAAUGCGUAGAGAUCUGGAGGAAUACCGGUGGCGAAGGCGGCCCCCUGGACGAAGACUGACGCUCAGGUGCGAAAGCGUGGGGAGCAAACAGGAUUAGAUACCCUGGUAGUCCACGCUGUAAACGAUGUCGAUUUGGAGGUUGUGCCCUUGAGGCGUGGCUUCCGGAGCUAACGCGUUAAAUCGACCGCCUGGGGAGUACGGCCGCAAGGUUAAAACUCAAAUGAAUUGACGGGGGCCCGCACAAGCGGUGGAGCAUGUGGUUUAAUUCGAUGCAACGCGAAGAACCUUACCUACUCUUGACAUCCAGAGAAUUUGGCAGAGAUGCCUUAGUGCCUUCGGGAGCUCUGAGACAGGUGCUGCAUGGCUGUCGUCAGCUCGUGUUGUGAAAUGUUGGGUUAAGUCCCGCAACGAGCGCAACCCUUAUCCUUUGUUGCCAGCACUUCGGGUGGGAACUCAAGGGAGACUGCCGGUGAUAAACCGGAGGAAGGUGGGGAUGACGUCAAGUCAUCAUGGCCCUUACGAGUAGGGCUACACACGUGCUACAAUGGCGCAUACAAAGAGAAGCGACCUCGCGAGAGCAAGCGGACCUCAUAAAGUGCGUCGUAGUCCGGAUUGGAGUCUGCAACUCGACUCCAUGAAGUCGGAAUCGCUAGUAAUCGUAGAUCAGAAUGCUACGGUGAAUACGUUCCCGGGCCUUGUACACACCGCCCGUCACACCAUGGGAGUGGGUUGCAAAAGAAGUAGGUAGCUUAACCUUCGGGAGGGCGCUUACCACUUUGUGAUUCAUGACUGGGGUGAAGUCGUAACAAGGUAACC
rnacentral:rRNA from 1 species